rnacentral:rRNA from 1 species
CCUACGGGGGGCUGCAGUAGGGAAUAUUAGUAAUGGGCGAAAGCCUGAACUAGCGACACCGCGUGUGCGAAGAAGGCCUUCGGGUUGUAAAGCACUUUUAGAGAGGAUGAGGAAGGACGGUACUCUCUGAAUAAGUCUCGGCUAACUACGUGCCAGCAGCCGCGGUAACACGUAGGAGGCAAACGUUAUCCGGAUUUACUGGGCGUAAAGCGCGUGUAGGUGGUUCUGUAAGUAGGGCGUGAAAGCUCCUGGCUCAACUGGGAGAGGCCGUUCUAAACUGCAGAGCUAGAGGAUGGUAGAGGAAGGUGGAAUUCCGGGUGUAGCGGUGGAAUGCGCAGAUAUCCGGAGGAACACCAGUGGCGAAGGCGGCCUUCUGGACCAUUCCUGACACUCAGACGCGAAAGCUAGGGUAGCAAACGGGCUUAGAUACCCCUGUAGUC